GGGGCCACCGAGUGGUUCGCACCUCGCCCGGAGGCCCUCCAGGCCAGUCACCGCCGCGCCGGCGUUAUCGCUCCCGGCAUCUCCGAGAGUUUCCAGUUUCUCCCCACUUUGGGAGGGAACCAAGAAACAGGAGUUCAGCCAUGAAGAGACAGCCGUGUAACCCUCUAACUGCAGUGCCUGAGAACACACCGGCUCUUCCAUGGGGUCCUAAGUGGCUCCUGACCAAAUUCCCAUCUCCAGCCUGGGGCACCAGAUCCCCUCCCAGGACCCUCCUCUCCCAGGACAGCGUCUGCACCAGUUACCGGACACAGCUUAAUGUCAUGGGAAAUCAAAAUGUUUUCAUUACCAAAUGCGACAUAUUUGCAGGAAGAUUUUCUGAUGAAACCAGCCCCACUGAACCUCUAUGUGAGCCCUGGGUCUUCACCCUGCUGACACCCCCACGCUACAAAGAAGGGUGUCACUGAUCUGGAUAGUUUUCUUCUUUGAAAAAGAGAAAAAUUAGAAAUGUUAUUCCAUUAGUAGUAAGUUCUUAAAGAUCUAAAAAAUCAGAGGUUUUGUUUUUCACAAGUAUUCCUCAUUCUAAAACAUGCUUGAUGUGACUUCCCUGGCAGUCCAGAGGUUAGGGCUUUGUCUUCCAAUGCAGGGGGUCCAGGUUUGAUCCCUGACUGGGGAGCUGAGACCCCACAUACCUCAAGGCCAAAAACCAAAACACAGAACAGAAGCAAUGUUGUAACAAAUCCAAUUAAGACUUUAAAAAUGGUCCACAUCAGAAAAAUAAAAACGUGGAUUGAAAAAAAAAGAGAAAAGCCUUGAUUUUUUUCAUGUUAUACCUGAUUUCUCUCUUCUGGCUCAAAUCCUGGCAAGUAACUUUUUUUGCAAAAGAUUAAGCCUGGCCAGUGAUGCUACACGUGCUCUUUUUGGUACUCACGCUUAAAUGCCCUUUCAGACUUUGGGGAGACACUGGGGAUCCCUAAGCUUCCAUGCUCACGCCUUGGCACUGGCUGAAUUUACCUCCCCCAGUUCCCUCCCUCUACCAAGAGCCCCUGAUGCCCUGAGUCAGGAAGGCAGCUUAGCAACCUGCACCUAAAUUUUUUCUUUUUUUUUUCCUGGUAAUGGCUGUUCAAAGGUUCAUAAAACCCUUCAAUCUCUUUCUCCCCAGAGAAACACAAUGUCUAGUCGUGAAUCUAUGCACAAUGUGAAAGAGACAGCUGCUUUGUUGGGUUGGGGGCCACAGGCUACAAAGCAGAACAGGAGCAACCUGGGGGUGGCCGGCAGCUUCAGGACUGCCUGGUCGUUCUCCCACUUCUUCAGGCUCAGGGAUGCUCCGAAUGUGGCUACCUGUGCUCAAGAAAUGAACUGUAACCAAUCAAUAUGCUGCAUGGUUCAUCUGGUCUCAAAUGCCUCUAGUUCAGUUCAGUUGAGAUGUGUGACCCCGCUGAACACAAGUUCAAUAUCUGUGCACGUGUGUGUACUCACAGGGCUGCUCUAGGUGGCUCAGUGGUAAAGAACCCGACUAUCAAUGCAGGAAACGUAAGAGAUGUGGGUUCGAUCCCUGGUGGGGAAGAUCCCCUGGAGGAACCAACCCACUCCAAUAUUCUUGCCUGGAGAAUCCUGUGGACAGAGAAGCCCGGCAGGCCACAGUCCACUGGGGCGCAAUGAGUUGGACGUGACUGAGCACAGACGAAGCCCUGCCAUUGUGUACACACAUAGCCUUGUCACGUGUACACAUGUAUGUGUGCAUAAACCCAUACAUGUGCAAACACACACAUCUAUACAGUAUAUGUAAUGUGUGUGUAUAUAUGUAAACAUGAAAAUACAAAGAUGCGCCUUUUUCUCACUGAUUUUUAGAAACUGUAGCUGCUUCAGUGACUCUGUCCUUUAAAAUAUGAACACUGAAACCCCCCAUGCCCCGUGUCCAUGCCCGUCUACAUCAACAAGAUUUUAUCCAACACCUUCAUUAGCAUGGCUGCUAUUCCAGGAGGCUUAGGCAAAAGACUUGGUCGUUCAUUCCAGAAACCUCCCAAAAGGCCGGCUUUCAGUAGGACGUGUCAACAGACAGUUCAUGCCCUGAGGUUCUAUGAACCCCUGCCUUAAAGUCCCUGCCUGGCUCUUUCCACCAAUGUGGCUCUGGUAACAUGAUCUACAUCUAACCCUAAUCAUACCUGUGCCCUCCGGCCCCCCACCUCCUAAGAGCCCCCAGUUUCCAUUCCAGGGCAAAUCUCAUCUGCCUCCCUCUGCCACAGGGGUGAGCUCUGCCUUAUCACCAGGACUAGCAAGCUGGUGAGUGAGUGGUAUUGAGGAGCCUGAGCCUGACACUAAUGGACCAAUUUUCUGUAGUUGGACAGAGAAAUUAUUCAAUAGGGCUAAUACCGCAGUCGUGUUCCUGGCUGCAAAGAUCUUUCAGUCCUGGGUACAAAUCGUCUGCUGUGAAACAGUAAGUUACUGUGCAUUUAAGACGGAAGAGGGGACCUCCCUGCUGGUCCAGCAGCUAAGGCUCCACGCUGCCAAUGCAGGGGCCUGGGUUUGAUCCCUGGUCAGGAAAAUAGAUCCCACAUGCUGAAACAAAGACCUAGGGCAGCCAAAUCAAUAAAUAUAAAUAGUUUUUUAAAAGAUGGAAGAAAAAAAAAUAAAAUAAAAGAUGGAAGAAGACAGCAACCUCUUUUCUCCUUUACCAACUAUGACCUUCAAGAAGGGAUGGCUCCCAGUUCCCCCAGACACCCCCAGGCAGUGCCCUGGGAGGGACUGGAGAUGGCCCCCAGUGCAUUCUGGGUGCCAGAACGGGACUGAGAGAACCAACUGCCCAAGAGAUGGACGAGAAAGCCCAGAGACACCAGAGCGGGCCCUCCCAGGCCUCCAGGGAUCCCUGUGGUCAGAGCACUGGAGUCUGCACUCCCUCGGCUUCUAACUCCUUCUGUAAUCUCGUAGGCAAAUAGCUUGCCCAGUUCCUUUAUCCACAAAAUAGGCAUAACAACCUAUUUCUGUGUCGUGGAACGUUAGAUUAACCAAUGAAUGAGGAGAGACUUUGCAAACUGGGAAGAGCUAGGCAAAUCCAAGGGUUCAUCUUUUCCAAACUGGUGUGCCUCUGGCAUGGGCUGGACAGAGGCCACCACACCUAGGGUGUCAUGUGUGGUUGUGCAGGUUGUGGACUGCACAACUCCAGGGGUGCCUUUCACAUCUAUAGUCAUGCGAGAUGCAUACUUUUAAAUGACAGCAUCCAGCAGCUGCCAGAAAGGAUGAUUUACUCUAAUUCAUGUGAAGUGCUGAGCAAGCUUGGGUUGAGGUUGCCUGUCCAGCGGCAUCUGGUAAGAUGGGAGGAACAAACCCAAUGGCAAUAUCCUCCUCUACCAGGUUUGCAAAGUUAAAUCACUGUUUUAGUGACCUAACCUUUCUAUGACUUAACUAUAUGGCUAGAGGCCAGAAGGAAAACCAUCAAUCACUUUAAAACUGUGUCAGAUCACUUUAGACUGAUCUAGAACCAAGCUCCUAAUUGUAGUGGUCAAUCCAGGUAUGACUCAUCCUUCCAGAAACACAGA
ensembl:lincRNA